CUCACCGUGUACAGAUGAAAAAGUUCAAUAAUAAAAAAAAGAAUUUACUGAGAAGACCAUCUUGAAAUAAAGAACAAAUUACGCAAUAUUUGAAAUGAAGUGCAGGUAUUUUAGUAAUAUAUAUCGUCACUAGUUACUAAUAGCUAGCCUUGAUAGACCUGCUUGAUAAACAGAUAUGCCUCGUUUCUAAUUAUUACCUUCAUGGUACAAAUUAGACACAGGGCAGUUUUGUUGAAGAGUGUAAAGAUACUUUAUCUACUUAAAUGGCUUAAGCUGUCCAUCUCUGAUCUUUGCAGUUGUUUAGCAAGCUACAGGUAGAUGAUCCAGGUGGAGCUAGGCUGAAGGGUGCUUUGCAUUACCACUAAUUCUGAAUUAGUGGGGUCCAAAUUAGGAGUUUUUUUUUUUUUUCUGUUUAAAACAGCUUAAAUUGUGCCUGUUGGUCAGGUAGUAGUGUAUGUACCAUAGUUGAGAUUUUUGUCUGAAGGUUCUAAACCACUCCUAACAACCCAAAGUUAUUGGUAUGGGAACAUUAGAAUAUUAAAAAGUAGGGGAUUUAAUAAGAGAAAACAGCAAAGGAGACCAUCCCCCCUUCUUUCUAAAAUAAUGGUAUGUAUAAUACAAAAUUGUAUUGUGUUCUAUCAUUUUCUAAAUAAUGCAAUGUAGGUUUUCUGACUUCUGCGUUCAGUGACUUGAGUAGAAACCUAUGUUAAAUAUAGACUACCUGUUUCUUUGUAUCUGAUAGUAAUUGAGAUUAACAGGCAGAUCUGGGUUCAGGCACAGGAGAAAAUACCAGAAUGUGCAGUGAGGGAAGAAUCAUAAGUAAAGCCUUGUUCUAGUGUAAAAGCACCACAAAGUUUAGUAAUGCAAAAAGCAAGGUUUUAUUCGGCAUAUAUGCAGGGGCAAAAGUAGGAAACAGACAAGCAUGCUACCAGAGCCAUGUUUGUCCAAGUCCAAGGAAUAUUACAGAACAGACAAAAGUGGGAAAACGGACAAGCGUGCUGCCAGAGCCGUGUCUGUCUGAGUCUGAGGAACAUUACGGAAUCAUCAGUAUAUAUUAAAAUUACAAAUGGGCAAAACCAUUGAAAGUUUCACAUAUUCACAGCUUGGCUAGAAACUGUUAAGUCGCCAUGAUUCUCCAUUUUGAAUCGCCUUUCUUAAUCAUUGGUACAGGUUUCAGUAACGGCAGUCAGGAGGGUCUUCAUUGGUCCAACAAAUCGUACUAUUCACUAAACGCUAAUAGAAAAAGAUAAGAGUGGAAAGUGUGUGGGUCUUUUGUGUGCUGUUUUAGUAGUUUGUGUAGAAAAACAAACAAACAAAGAAACAAAAGCUCAAAAACCAAACCCGUUGCCGUGGAGUCAAUUCUGACUCAUAGUGACCCUACAGGACAGAGUAGAACUGUCCCCAUAGGGUUUCCAAGCAGUGACUGGCGAAUUCAAACUGCUGACCUUUUAGUUAGCAGCCGUAGCUUUUAACUGCUGUGCCACCAGGGCUCCUUAUGUGAAAGUUUCCCUAAAAGAUCUUUUCCAAGAUUGUCCUAGCUAUUGUCUUUAUACCUCAGGGCCCAGUUGAUGUGUCCCUUGUGAGUGCAGCUCCAGCUGGAUCACAUUCUAGGACAGGGAGUAAUGACUGCAAUAUUAUCUCCUAAGCCAGCCUCCAGCCACCCAAGGAAGUCCCUUCAGCCCCCAUGUCCAGUGUAGAACUUCACCCACCUCUCUAUGAGACUGAGACUGACCCUCAGAAUAAAUAAGUAUUCAUGAAAAAAUCUACUUUCUUUAUGAUGGCCCUGCCUUUAGUGAGGAAACAAAAUGUUUCACCCACCUAAAAGCUGGGAAGAACAAGUCAUUUGUUUGACUUAGCUAAUGGGAGCCCAGAAACCGUGGUGGCAUAGUUGGUUAAGAGCUAUGGUUGCUACCGAAAGGUUGGCAGUUCAAACUCAACAGCCCGCUCUGUGGGAGAAAGAUGUGGCAGUCUGCUUCUGAAAAGAUUACAGCUUGGGAGACCCUAUGGGGCAGUUUUGCUCUGUCCUAUAGGUCACUAUGAGUUAGAAUCAACUCGAUGGCAAUGGGUCAUUUGGUUGGUUGGAAACAAUUAAGCAAAGGUGUGAACUUACAAUAACUUGUUCAGUGUCAGAAGAUAGAAGAAGUGACUUACUGAAACCUAAUAGAAUCCACCUCCAUUUUCACAAGCCUUCAAGAACUGCUGGAAAACAAAUUCUUAGCUGAAGAAAUGAUACAUUUGUAGACCUCCAAGAUGUCGAAAUAUUACUGCUCUUACCUUUGUAUUAUGCCAUAAAAUACUUGUUUGACUAAAAAAUAGUAAACAGCCUCAAAAUCAUGUCACUAAAUCAUUAUCCUUAUAUUCAUUCUUGUUAAACUAGUUGUAUUUCACAUAACACACACUUUCUAAGAAGCUUAAUAAUUAUUAAUGAAAUACCAAUGCAUCUUAUUAAUUUAUCUAAUUACAAUCAUACUGAGCAGUCUUGUCUUCUAAAAUAGUAAUAAUAGUGAUAACAGUGCCAGACACUGUUCUAAUCACUUUACAUAUAUUAACUAUUUACUCCUGACAACAACUCUGUGAGGUAGGUACCAUUGUUAUUUCUAUUUCAAGCAAUUUGAUCAAGGUCAUACAGCUAGUAAGUGUGGAGUCAGGAUUUGCAUCUAGGCUUUGUGAAUCUAGAGAUAUAAUAUGUAAUGGAUACCAGUUGUUGUGGAGUCCAUUACGCCUCAUGGUGACCCCGUGUGUUUCAGAGUAGAACUGUAGAACGGUACUCCGUAGAGUUUUCUUUUGGAAGCAGAUCACCAGGCCUUUCUUCUGAGUUGCCAUCUGGGGGGAUUCAAACCAUCAACCUGUCAGUCGCUGAGCUUUUAACUAUUUGUGCCGCCCAGAUACAAUGAUUGAAAUCUUGAGGGAGGACCAGAUGUUCCCUGUGAUUAAAUAUAGAGUUCAAAAUGUAUAAGCAAAGUCUGCCCAAAGCCUUUCCCUGUGACUUGCUGAUACCAAUGAGUACGAAAGGCAUUUUCACAUCAGUAGGAUCAGAGCUAUGUUUGGUAUGAGGAUUGUGAUCAUGUUUCAGGAAGUAUUCCCAGUUCUGACACACAUUUCCUGAGUUGUGCUUUUACACGGUGAUCAUAGCUGGUUAAGAUUCCUGUUCUGGGCUUCUGUUUUAUUAGCUCCAAGAUGCUUCAUUCUGUUUCUUCCCGUUCCUUCUUCACUUUGCUUAGUGUUCUCUGACCUAUGCUAUUUGGGGUCCCUUUUGAUGAUUCUGUAGCCAUUCCUCUAUGGUUUCAUAUCUGGCAUUAAGCCGUUUUUACCCUGCUAAAAGCUUCUAAACUUUUGAAUCAGAAAAUAAAUGCUAAAAAUAAAAUCAUUCCCCCAAAUGCUUCAUUUGUUAUGACAAAAAUAUAUAUAACAAAAUGUGAUGGUUAAGAUUGUGUGUCAGCUUGGUUGGGCCAUGAUUCUCAGUGUUUUGGCAGUUGUAUAAUGUUGUGAUCACUUUCCUGUUGAAAUUUGAUAUGUGCUCACCCCCAUGAUGGAAUCUGCUGAGUGGUACCAGCUGGGGGUAGGGCCUGUGGUGGCUAAAUGCCCCCUCAGCCUCCAUCUUUCCACCUUCCGCCAUCUACUUCCUUUUCCUGCUCAACUUUCAAAGGUUGUUGUCUUGUUCUGGAUCUAGCAGCUGUCUCUUGUCUGACCUCUAGUUCUUGGGACUUGAGCUAGCAGCUUACCUGUCCAUCUUGGGAUUUGCCAAUCUUCAUGGCAUGUGAGCAAGAGUCCUGCUCUCGGACUUGCCUAUCUUGGGUUCGGCAGCCCCUGCAGCUGACUCAGGAGAAAACUUGCCGUAUUGCCUGCUAACCUUGGGGAUUCCUCACCGUCAGAACCUGUGAGUGGAAUCCCUGCUCUCCAACCUGCUCAUCUUGGAUUCCCAGCUUCUGCAGCUCUGUGAAUUGGGAAAGGACUCUGUCUUGAUCCAAGGACUUGGGACUUUCCAACCCCCACAAUCACGUGAGCUGUUCACUUAAUAUAAAUCUCUCUCUAUUUAUACACAUUACUGGUUUUGCUUCUCUAGAGAACCCAGCCUAAGACACAAAAUAUUUGCAAUUUAACCAUUUCUUACAUAUAUAGUUCAGUGGCAUCAAUUAUGUUCGUCAUGUUGGGAACUGUAAGUUUAAGAUAAUGAUGGUGGAAUAAUUUGGAAAAGGAUAGAGAGAAUGAUAGCACAACUUGAAGAAAGUAAUCAAUGUCACUGAAUUGUACGUGUAGAAAUUGUGGAAAUGGUGUGUCUUUGGCUGUGUGUAUGUUCUCCAAAAACAAAUAAAUAAGCAAACACUUGUAAGGAGGGCGGAUUAUCCAAUAGGCAAGGUAAACACAGUGUUCACCUUACUUACCAGAUCAUCUGUAAUGAACAAUUUCACAUUUUUUUUUAAAUCACAUCAAAGAUUCUGCUUCUAGGUAUGGCUGACAUCUGUCUCUCUCCCAACCCUAUAGCACCUUUCUACAGAAUCAGGGCCUUUUUUUAAAAUUUACAGUCCCUAACAGAAGAAGCCGACCCAGUAAGCAAGGUAAGCGUGGGCUUACUUGUGCUUACUUACUCAUCUGUAGUGAACAGUUAUAAUGAGCACCAGCUGCCAUGGAGUCCACUACAACUCAUGGUGACCCCAUGUGUUUGAGAGUAGAACUGUACUCCUUAGGGUUUUCAAUGGCUGUGAUCUUUUCAAAGUAGAUCGCCAGGUGAAACCCAUGUGAAAUUGUUCACUACAGGUGAUCUAGUAACCAAGGUAAGCACUGCGUUUACCUUGCCUAAUGGAUAAUCCGCCCCUGUUUGUAAGCACUGUUUUGGUUAAAAAAAAAAAAAAAUAGGUGCUGUUUAUUUGGCAUAAUCUGUGAUAGAAAUUCUAUGUUUAAUUUUCAAACUAUGAAGUAAUGACGUGCUCAACAAUGUAUAUGGUUCUCAGAGCUGGUGCCUACCUGCCUGUCAGGGACUGAGGCAGUAUUUACACAUAGCAGGCCUCCAUGUGAUCACUAGAUCCUUGAGUGGCUAGACUGAUGGCAUGAAAACCACCCUCUGCUCAACCUUGGGGAACAACUGAAUGUUAUUAUUUUUUUAAAACCAGGUAGGCAAAAACAUAAAAUGCUCCUGGUUCACAGUUUGCUUACUCUUCCUGUGCGUCAGGACUCCCGCUGGCAUAGUAUCGCCAGGCAUUGUAAACAGCUCCUAUAAAAUGCCUAAAAUAGCAACAGACUUUCUCAGGAGUUGUUUCCAGUGUCUGGACUAUACAUUUAGCCUUUCAUAUCCUUGAUGCAAAAAGAAACAAUACAGAACCUAAGAGAGUUGACUGAUGUAUUUGGUAGGCAAAUGUGAGGAAGGGGACAGAGGGUUGGAUUGAUCAGGCAUCAGCCAUGUAAUUCGUAAGCCCUCAGAGACCCGGUUGUUCCCUUUGGCUCUGCCUUACUCUGUCUCCCCUGAUGGGACCAGGCCUAUUCUUGCAGGGUCAUCUGAUAUCUGUACAGUUGGGUGAAUAUUGGCUACUGUUGGAGAUCUGACUGCUAGUUUCACAACAAGGACGGAGGAGCAAAAGUACAAUGGAAAAUUGAAGGAAUUCUCUAGAUAAUUCUAGGUUUUCCAAAAGGCUCUUUUUUGGGAGGCCUAAAUUAUCGAGGUUAUUGAAUGCAUCUCUUCUUUAUUUUACUGGUAGCGGCUCUUUGGAUUUAGAAGAUUGGUCUGAGGAAGAAUAAAAAAAGCUUAUUAGAGUUCAAGCAUCAAACAAUCUUGUCUUCUGUUUUCUAGGUAAUAUUUAUUGAGUAUUAUGCUGUGUACUAGAAUCCCUGGGUAGUACAAAUGGUUAAUGAAUCUGGCUGCCAACUGAAAGGUUGGAGGUCAAGUCUACCCAGAGGCACCUCAGAAGAAAGGCCUGGUAAUCAAAAAAAAACUACUUCUGAAAAAUCAGUCGUUGAAAACUUUAUGGCACAUAGUUGUUCUGUGACACAUACAGAGUUGCCAAGAGUCGAUGUCUACUGGUAUGCUGUGUGCUGAGUAGCGUGCUGUGUAUUCUCCAGACAAAUACUCAAACCUCUUAGAGACCCAAUGAAGGAGGCAUCUUAAUACCUAAUAUUAGCGACUUUAAGUCAUCUGUACAGGGUCUUGAAAGAAAUGAGAAAGUUGGGGUUGCAGCUCAGGUCAGUAUGACUCAGGAGCCUGUUUGCCUGGAACACUGCCUUGGUCUUUUUGGGAGGUUAGGAAAAGCUUCAGUGGAAACUCUUCGGUCAAAGACAAAGUUAUCAAAUGGAUGUUGACUUCCUGCCUCAGUCAGAUGCUCUUGUCUGUAUAUUUGUUGACUGCUUCUCACCAUAUACCAACUGAAUCAGAGAGUGACCAACUUUGGUGUUUGUUUAGUGUCAGCCUGUGUUGGGCACUGCGUGUGACAUGCCCCAGAUACUGUUGCUUUAGGAGUUUACAACACCCUGGUCACCACUCUGGGGACUAAAAUCCAAUAGACUAAACCAGAAGACAUUCUGUUUGUCUGUGAUGUUCCUUUCAACUGUUUGCUCCCACCCAUUAUUUAUUAAAAAAAAGUAUAUAAGCAUUUCUGGAGAGUAGUAUUAAGAUAGUCAAAGUUUCUUACCGUGUAGACAACAUGUCACCGCUCUGUGUAAACCAGCGGAGUUCAGACAAUAAAUAUUGGAAAAAUAGAUAUAGGCUGGGGAAAGAUCAUUUCAUAUUCAGUAGAACGUGUAUGGUUAUAAACACGGGCUUUGGAAUCUGACAGAUUUGAGUGUGAAGGUACUAGGUCUGCCGUGUUCUAGCUAUAUUAUACUAGAUAGUUAUUUAACAUUAAGAUGAUCAUUAUUCAGGUUAGGACGUGUUAUGGAUUGAAUUAUGUAUCCCUCUAAAUAUGUAUCAACUUGGGUAGGCCAUGAAUCCCAGAAUUGUGUGAUUGUCUGCCAUUUUGUGAUCUGAUGUGAUUUUCCUAUGUGUCAUAAAUCUUAAUCUCUACCUGUGGUUAAUGGGUCAAGAUUAGGUUAUUUUAAACAGGAUUAGGGUGGAGUGCAACAUACUUACUCAGGUCACAGCCCUGAUAGAUAUAAGGCGAGUUUCCCUGGAUUGUGGCCUGCAUCACCGUUUAUCUUAUAAGAGAUUAAAGGAAAGAGAAGUGAGUAGAGAGAUGAGCAUCUACUACCACUAAGAAUGAAGAGCCAGGAGUGGAGCACGUCAUUUGCAUCCAGGGUUCCUGCACUGAGAUGCUCCUAGACCCAGGGGAAGGUCGAUGACAAGGACCUUCCCCCAGAGCUGACAGAGAGAGAAGGCCUUCCCCUGGAGCUGGCACCCUGAAGUUGGAAUUACAGAAGCAGACUCUCACAUCUUUCUCCAGAGGAGUGACUGGUGUGUUCAAACUACUGACUUUUCAGUUAACAGCCAAACAUUUAACUACUGCACCACCAGGGCUCCUUCCCGUAAAGAUUAGAGCCUAGCAAACUCUAUGGGGCCGUUCUGCUCUGUCAUAUAGGGUCACUAUGAGUCAGAAUCGACUCAACAGCACCUUACACCAACAGGUUGUCCUUAUUGUCUUCCUUCCCCUGGAGAACUAGAAAGAUAUAUGAAAGUCAGUAGAUAAUGUACCUUGUGAGUAUUGAUGGGUCAGUAAGAUAGCCAAGACGGAGAACAAGUUGGAGACCUUUAGGAAAAUAUAGUGGAAGAAGGACAGGAAGCUGGCCAACUUUCUCACUAUCCAAAACUUCUCUGUCGCAGCAAUGAAUUGGCAUAACUCUGUACUUCCUGUGUGAUUGUAUUUGUGAUGGUGGAAUUCUCCAGAAGGAAGGCCGCAUAUUUGCUGGCAACCGUGUGCAGGAUAAUUUGCUGAUAGGAAUUGGCUCUUUGCUUUAUUUUCUACAACUUACGUAAACCAACUGGGCCUGAGAAGAAACUAAAACUCUGAAGCUGCCUCGAAGUUUUAUUUUAUUUUUAAAUGACACUUGGCUAAAUAUAAAUUUGAAUUACCAGAGAUUAAUACCAGUUUGAGCUGCCAAUAACCUACCUUAGUGUUGAAUUUGGUUUUUCUCUAGAACAUAUGGGAUCAUCAGCGAUACCUGCCUGUCAUAUGAUCGGAGUGUCUUCUACAUGCAUUACCUGGCUUCUUCCACCAGCCUUUUGAGAUAGAUGAACUAUUUAUAAACAAAUAAAUGAAAUCAAAAGAGAUUAACUGACUUUAAGUCAGUGUCUUUCUGCAUGAAGUCCAAUGCCCUCGACUGCAGAGUGAAGAAGGAAAGACUACAAGAUUCUGAGAAUUUAGGGCAGAUAGCUGAAUGAUUUCAUUUUGUCCUUUAUUUUAAAUGUGAUCAGGCCCAAUCAGAUGACAAAUAAGCUGAUAGGCAUAGAACUUUACAGAAAAAACUCUAAGACCCUAUCCAACUUAGUUCCUUCUUAAGAAAGCUGCCAAUGUGGACUUUUUCCACAGGUACCUAAACUAUUCUCAUAUAAAGGACAUGUUUCAACAAAAGCUCAAAUUCUGUUUGAUUCAUCUUUUAAUUGGUUUUAUAGUUGUAUCAAAAGCAGUGUGUCUAAUGUGAAAUGAUAAGCAAUCAAACAGGGUUGAUUUAGGAUUAGAGUAUUGCCAGUUUUUCAUGAAAGGCUAAAGUUUUUUAGUCUUGAUGUAAAUUUAGUGUUAAUGUAGGAAAUUGUUUUCUUCUUUGACCCUCUACCUCUCAACCUAAUUUGAGAACUAGGUGGUUGAUACUGCAUUAGUUCAAGUUUUUAUUUUCAUCAUAGUAUAGAUCCACUUCCAGUUUCAAAAUUAUUCUUAGGUCAGCAUGAUAGAUGUUACCAGUGAGGGAGACUGGCUGAUUUGUUGUUGCAAAGCUCACAGGCUGGCAAUACCAUGGGUGGUGUAUCUACUGGUGAUAAGCUUUGCAAGUCUCUGAACUUGACCUUGUCAAGGUACUUAGAGCUAUUUUAGCUCAGAGGGUUUGACUGGCACUAACCAAAUUCAUAAGAGACCAUCAUAUAAACCCAAACGCCUGUAACCAUCUAAACGAACAAACAAAAAAGCUGUUGCUGUCAAGCCUAUUCCAACUCAUAGCAACCCUAUAGGACAGAGUAGAACUGCCUCAUAGAGUUUCCGAGGAGCACCUGGUGGUUUCUAACUGCCAACCUUUCGGUUAGCAGCCAUAGCUCCUAACCACUAUGCCACCAUCUGGUGGACCAUAAAUUGGCCAGUCAGUGCAGUCUCUCCCCUGUAAUAAAAUCUUAAGGGAAGCCAGUGGCCAAAACUAGGAGGUGGCUUGGUGUGAAGGAAUCAGACACUGAUAAUCAUGACAACUGACAUUUAUUAAGCACUCACUGUAUACCAGGUACAGGUCUAAGCUCUUGACUGUAUUAACUACCACUGUCUUCAAGAGGAACAGGGCAUCAGGAUUGGAAGAAGACUCAUUAAUAACCUGUGAUAUGCAGAUGACACAAUUUUGUUUGCUGAAAAUGAAGAGGACUUGAAGCACAUGCUGAGGAAGAUCAAAGACUACAGCCUUCAGUAUGGAUUAUACCUUAACAUAAAAAAACAAAAAUCCUCACAACUGGACCAAUAAGCAACAUCACAUAAAUGGAGAAAAGAUUGAAGUUGUCAAAGAUUCCAUUUUUCUUGAAUCCACAAUCAACACCCUUGGAAGCAGCAAUCAAGAAAUCAAAGGACGUGUUGCAUUGGGCAGAUCUGCAGAAGACCUCUUUAAAGUGUUGAAAAACAAAGAUGUCACCUUGAAGACUAAGGUGUGCCUGACCCAAGCCAUGGUAUUUUCAAUCGCAUCAUGUGCAUGUGAAAGCUGGACAUUGAACAAGGAAGACCGAAGAAGAGUUGAUGCCUUUGAAUUAUGGUGUUGGCGAAGAACGUUGAAUAUACUGUGGACUGCCAGCAGAAGGAACACAUCUGUCUUGGAAGAAGUACAGUCUGACUGCUCUUUAGAAGCAAGGAUGGCAAGACUUAGUCUCACAUACUUUGGACAUGUUAUCAGGAGGGACCAGUCCCUGGAGAAGGUCAUCAUGCCUGGUAGAGAUGGUCAGCAAAAAAGAGGAAGACCUUUAAUGAGAUGGAUUGACACAGUUGCUGCAAUAAUAGCCUCAAGCAUAACAACAUUUGUGAGGUUGGUGCAGGACUAGGCACUGUUUUGUUCUGUUGUACAUAGGGUUGCUAUGAGUUGGAACUGACUUGAUGGCACCUAACAGCAAUAAUAUAUAAAUAUUGACUUGGAAACGUAUUUAUCCCAUUUGUAUAAAACACAUCUCAUUUGUAUAAAAGCAUAUAUAUGGUAGUAUAUGGUGAUAACAUUUCUGGAAGGUUAGCAGCAUUUUGUUCCACUGUGCAUAAGAUCACCAUGAGUGUGGGGCCACAGCUGGUAAAAACAACAACCUAUGAACUUGUUAGCAGUGGUAACCUAUGAGGAGUAGAAGGGGGUGGGGAAGGGAGACUUAGUUUUCUUUAACUUUCUAUUCUUCUGUACUGUUGAAGAACUUUUUAAGCCAUAUUCAUGUUUUACUUCUUAUAAAAAAUUAAAAUGAAAUUCUCUCCCUAUUAUUUUGCAACACACACUUUGUGUGGACUAUUUCCCAGGGUUUUUCUUAACUGCCUGUUUGUUUUACUCGUGUGUGUGUGAGCGCGUGCGUGUGCAUGCACACAGGCCGUGUGUUUAGGAGGGGCUGCCAUGAGUUGGUAUCAACUAGAGGGCAAUGGUUUUGGUUUUGGGAGCAAGCAGAACGGCAGAACAUGCAUGAAGCCAUCAGUCAACAUUAUCUUUUCAACAUUGUGAGAUUCUGCUUUUAAAUCAGGCUCUUUCUCUGGAGCUCUCUUCUCCUACCACCUGCGAAUUCAUUUGCUAACUACAGAGUUCCAUAUGUGGGCUUUUUACCACUCCCACCUUCCGCUCCCCACGCUCCCAUCCCUUUGUCUGCUCUUGUUCCUCUUAGAAUAAACUUAAUUGCACAGAGCCCUGUGAGAGCCCUUGAUAGGGACCCACUGGGAUUCAUGAUGCAGCUGUGGCUCAGCUGGCGAGCCUCUGGAAGGCUCAUGAGGGGUACUUGAUGAGAAGAGCUUAGCUUGCUCUCUGGUUUUGAUUGAAAACGUGCAUGAAAGGGAAGCACCUGCUCAGUUCUGAUGAGGGGCCCAGAUCUGCUGCUUCUCAGACUUAAAAUCCCCAACAUGCUCUGGAAUGAGACCAUAUUUUUCUUGAUAUGAGGCAGCCCUUCUGAUUGAGUGCUGCGUCCCUGGCUGCCUGUUGUUGUGUAAUUGUUACACAUGAUCAUGCUAUUUACAGCACCAGCACCUUGGCCUUGUUUUAGAAGCAAGGAGUUGUGCCAUUUAUGGUUUUGCAAUUAAAGAGGCAAGCCACACAGCUCAUGAAUAAAAACUGGGUACACCCUCUUGAAAUAAUUGUCAUAUUUAAUGACAAAUUAGCUUAGGAGAGGUAAAGACAUACCCAAGCUCUUUACCAAAUUGCUCUUGUUGUUGUUAUUAAAGCACUUAACUUGGGGCUUGUUAUGGAUUGAAUUAUGUCCCUCGAAAUAUGUCUCAACUUGGGUAGGCCAUGAUUCCCAGUAUUGUGUGGUUGUCCUCCAUUUUGUGAUCUGAUGUAAUUUUCCUAUGUGUUAUAAAUCCUAAUCUCUGCCUGUGGUUAAUGAGGCAAGACUAAAAAAAAAAAAAAAAAAUGAGGCAAGACUAGGUUAUGUUAAAGAGGACUAGGAUGGGCUGUAACACCUUUACCUCAGGUCAAAGCCCUGAUCUGAUGUAAGUGGAGUUUCCUGAGGGUGUGGCCUGCAUCACCUUUUAUCUUACAAGAGUUAAAAGGAGAGAGAAGGGAGCAGAGAGAUAGGGACCUCAUACCACCAAGAAAGAAGUGCUGGGAGUGGAGCAUGUCCUUUGGACCCAGGGUCCCUGUGCUGAGAAGCUUCUAGAGCGGGGGGGUGAUUGAUGACAAGGAACUUUCCCCGGAGCCGACAGAGACAGGAAGCCUUCACCUGGAGCUGGCACCUGAAUUUGGGCUUCUAGCCUUCUAGACUGUGAGAGAAUAAAUUUCUGUUUGUUAAAGCCAUCCACUUGUGGUAUUUCUAUUAUAGCAGCACUAGAUGACUAAGACAGGGCCAUUUUCAAUGGACUUGAAUCAAAAUUACCGUGUUCCUUCUUCCCUAAAGAAUAUGUUUUGCGUUAGGGCCCCAGGCAUGUCAGAAGUGUAUAUGUGGACCGCAGGUUGCCAGUCCUGGCCUUGGAAUCACGUUUUCCAACAAAGGACCAGAAAAUCAAGGUACUCUUGCAGAUUCACCAGGCACAGAUAUUGAGCAAGGCAUUUGGUUUUGGCUGGGCCUAGCCUUUAAUACCAACCCAUUGCUACUGAGUCGACUAUGACUCACAGUGACCCGGUAGGACAGAGUAGAACUGCCCCACAGGGUUUCUAAGGAGCAGCUGGUGGAUUCAAGCUUUGAUAGUACAACCAAAUAUUGGUUUGUUUUUAGUGUUCAGUUUUUCUAGUUUUUUUUUUUUUUGUCAGCCUCGGUGAAUUUACCAGAAAGUUUAGAAAAUGGAUACAAGUGGUGGAGAUCUCAAUCCGCUUCAGUUGAGUUUGUUGUUAAGCACAGUAGGUACUUCAGAGAUAUGGCCUUUUGCCCAUUUUCUCUAGUCUCUUUCCUAGAAAUCACUUAAAAUUUUAGAGACCCUAAAGAAAGCUAGGAAUGGGAAUGGCAAUAGCAUGUAAGAAGAGAGAGACUUUUAGACCAUGGGCCAGUCAAGGGGUCACCCUUUCAACCCAACAUUGGCAGUCUGCAAAAAUAAAUUUAAAAAAGUGUUGCCUUAGAUAAUGUUAACUGUUUGAAGUCAGUGAGGUUUCAGUAUUUUUUCUAAGGGGGAAUGACUAAAGCAUAUACCCUUGAGCCACAGUCCCUUUGGAUAUGUCAACAGAGGCUUGGAGGAAAUGGCUAACAUGUCUAGGAUGAACUAGACCCUUGGAGUAGGGCUGACCUUUGGAGCUACCCUCAGCGCUCCCUGAAAGAUGUAUUUGUGACCCUUAAGAUGGAUGUCCUUCACAAGCUGAAGCCUCCUCCUCCCGUUCUGGGCUCCUCUCUAACUUCUAGAGGGCCCCUCUCCCGGGCUGUUCAUCCUCCAGGGUUCUUCUCAUCUUCCUUCUGGCUGUGCCUACUUCUGUUGGCUCCUCACCAAGCCUGGCUCUCGCCCCAAGCACCCCAAUCCUAAAUUUUUUUCUCCCGUCUUUUCAUCUAAUACUCAUUUAUUCUAUGCAGGCUCAGCUUAACCAGGAGUCAGAAAGAAGCAGGUAUUAAGAGAAAACCCGAGGAAAUCAGUGAGGGGUGCAAAUGACUGAUGAACUUAACCUGCUUUGCAGUUUUGAAAGAGGAACACAUGAACCCAAAUUCAUCAUGAUUGGUGAAAUAUGAAGGAGAUGAGAGGUUUUCUGAGCAGAGGGGCUGGCUCAGUGCUUUCUUGCUGGGCUUCCAGAUGCCUCCGUGGAUAAUGUUGCUGUGGUCUUUGGUUGUUCCUGAGCUGGGGUUGGAGCAGCCUCAUCACCUUGGAAAUACUGCCAGAAGUUUGGGAUCCAGGACUCCUGGGAUGGGAAUGGGGUACUGCAUGAAUACCCUGAGGGUGGAAGUCAAGAUAAUGGCUAAGCCAGACUGCUUUUUGUCCAAAACAGCCUUAUGGGGUCCAGAGGCUACAUUGUUUACAGGGAGGAGCCCUGGCAUGAGCUGGCAGGCAGCACCUGGCACAUCAGUGAGUGUCAUGAUAGGAGAAUGUGGACAGCUAACUGAGGGUGCCCAGGAAUCUUUCCCAUCUGACUGGGAUUAGGUAAGGUAGGAGCAUUUGAGAAAUGAUCGCCCUUUUAUCUGGCAGAUCCUUGGCUGAUGUUGAAACACUGGCUGUUGUUCAUACCACUGACUCUACCUGUUCCUCUGCCCUAGUUUGAAAAGUUUUUCUUGGUUUCUUGUUUCCCCUGUUCCCAAUCCCUUUGACUCUUCUCCCAGCUACAGAGAGUGGAGAACAGGGUUAUGUAGAUCACCAGGAAGGGAAGCAAGCAGAACCUCUGCUUGUGGCAUCCACCCUUCUUCAUUUUAUUUGCUCAGGAUAUUUCACCUCCAUCUGUCUGUGUUUGUCUUUAUGUGAACUUCUCAUUUGACAGUGGGUGAGAUCUGGUCAUUGGGAGGAGGUGGUUCAGGCCCAAAUGUAUUUAGGCUUUUAAUUGCUGAGUGUCUGAAAUCAUAGCAUUUCAUUGACUCCUCAGACCUCACCUUAAUAUCUUAAACCGUGACAUAGUACUUAUCUUUUACCUGUUUUAUAGUGAUGCUUGAGGAAUAAAAAGCACCUCUAGCUAUGUAGAAACUAGAGAAGGCAUAUAUGAAACCCUUUCAGAGUGAUCAUUUUUUGCUGAACUCCUGCCUGCAGGUGCACAUAGCAGUUGACACUGUUGUUUUUUUAACCAGUCAUGGCGGCUAUGAUGCUGUGCUUACCAUGUCCUUGUACUUAAUCUUUGCAUAGUGCUUGUUUUUACAGAGUGCUUUCACAUAUAACAUUUGAGCUGCACAGGCCUGUGGUAUUGGCAAGGUGGGUAUCUCCCAUUUUAUAGCUGGUGAAAGUGAGGUCAGGGAGGUUAAAAGACUUGCUAGUCAGGAUGGAACUGGAAUUCAGACCCAGAGCCCGUGCUCUUUCCACUCUGCCAUUCUGCAUAUAUUGCUGUACAGAUCAGUAAGGAACUUUUGUUAUGGAGUCUUGGGUCAUACUCAUUUUAUUUGGGAGGUUUCAAAUAGGAAACUCACACUUGGCAGAUGGAUUCAUUUGUUUUGUUGUGUGAGUUCAGUGGGCAUGCCAUUGAUACGGUCAAAAGUGACUAUUUCUCUUGGAGGCCAGAUGUAGACAUUGUGACAAUAGCAAUAAACACAGGGUUUGCCCUCGAGGAUCCUACUGAGGAGAGAUUGACAACAAAUAAAUAUAAUGUCAGGUGGUGAUAGUGCUUUGAAGAAAAAUAAGGCAAUGUCAGCAGGCAGAAAGUGACUCUGAGCUAGACAUUAGAGACCUGAAUGAGGUGAGGGAGUGAGUCUUGUAAAGGACAUUCCAGGCAGAGGGAACAGCAGAUGCAAAGACUCUGAGCCAGGAAUGAGCUUGGUAUAUCCCAGUAACAGCAAGAAGACCAGUGUGGCUGUAGUAGAGGGAGCAAGAGAAAGAAUGUGGCCAUAUGACAUGGGAGAAAUUAGCAAGGGCCAGACCAUGUAGGGCCCUGUAGGCCUUGGUGAGAAUUUUAAAUUUUGUUCUAAGAGGGAUGAGGAUCACUUUCAAACUAAACAAGUAGAAAAUACAUAUUUGUCUUUUAUCUUUGCAAGGUUUUUUUUUGUCCCUUUGACCCAUUACUCACAAAUCUGGGAAGCUCACAUUUCUUGGGAGUCCUGAGCAGGCCUGGCCUUAAAAGGCUUCCCCAUGCCCUCUAUUCAAGACAGUUCUCCAUGGGGCCCUCACAUCUCCGUAUAUUUUGUGAGCAGAGGUGCUGUCUGCCCUUCCUUUAGGACUAUGUUUUCAACGAUGUUUAUAUAGCAAACAGCUUUGGGAGAUAGAGAUAGUGCCUCCCUCUGGAACAAAGUUCAGACAGGCUUACUACCCAUUAUAAAAGAUUCAGAUUCCCUAAAUUCAGAGUUCCUUUCCUGUAAUGCAACCUACUGCAUGUGCAGGUAUCAUUUGGCCUUCUUUGCAUCACCGUGUGGGAACUGGAACUCAAAGAACUGGCACAAAAAAUGCCAAUCUACUGUUGCUGUUAUUGUAAAGUGUCUUGUCUCUGGCCCAGGAGUCUCAUGUCUUUUGCCAGCAUUCAUGAAGCUCUGGCAGGAUAACUUGUUAAUUUCAAAAUUCCUGACAUUCUUAAAAUAACUUCCAAACUGGCAUCAUGACUGAGAUCUUGACCAUGGGUCAAUGGCUUUGGCAUAUGUCUGUGGUUUUUAAACUUUUUUUCUAUUAUCUUUGGAACUUUUUUCCCUGAAAUGAAAUCUGCUGAGGAAACUAAUAAAAUGAAAACUUCUCUGGUUGAAGUAGGGGUAGGAGCCUGAAUUUCUCCAUCCUAUGCAGCCCCCAGGCAUCUCUGGAGAAGCACCUGACAUAGUUUCUGAAACACUGUCAAGCCACCAAACCACCAGUUGCCCUUGAGUCGUCUCUGAUUUGUGGUGACGCUAUGUGUGUCAGAGUAGAACUGUGCUCCAAAGGGUUCUCAAUGGCCGAUUUUUCAGGAGUAGAUUGCCCAGCCUUUCUUCUGAGGUACCUCUUGAUGGACUCAAACCUCCAACCUAGCAGUUGGUAGCUGAGCACAUUAACCAUUUGUACUACCCAGGGACUCUCCAAGCUGCUAAAGGUCUCUUUACAACUCAAAUCUGAUAUGUGGGAACAAUAACACAUUAAACUCUUAUCAGAGACAAUUGGUUAUGUUUUAGCAAAAAUUAAUUUGCUAGUCGUUAAUAGGUCAGGACAAAUUAGUUUCUCAAAGAGUAGACCCUAAAUGGGAAUGCAAUCCAGGAUUAAUAAAUUUUGGUUGCAGGAUUUGGAGGGAGGGCCCAGCAGUGGCGGGCCCUGGGUGUUUGAGCAGGGCUAAGAGGUAGAGGAGGGAGGGUGCUAGAAAUAAGGUUGUCCUGAGAGGAUGGUAGGUGGUAAAUAAAAUCACAUUUCAAUUGCUUGGUUUCCUUGAUCCUCUGGACCUCUUGGAGCUUCCCAGGAACUUAGAGUGGGGCUGGGCAGAGAGAGAGAUAAGUGUCUGCUCACCCGACACCCUUACUUUCAUGUGUAUUAUAUGUUGGGGUUCUGUGUGAGACAUCAUUUGGAAAAAUUACUCUCCUACUGAAACAAGUUUGAAAGUUCACCGACUUCACUUUGUUACCUGGGGCUCUGGCAGUUUGUUCUAAAAAGUAAAGAAGAUGGUUGUUUCACAGAGCACAAGCAGGAGGGUGGCCCAGCAGAAAGAAUUCUCGGGUUCAGGCCCAAUUCUACUACCAACUCUUGGCUAUACUGCUAAUUUGCUGUGUGACCUUUGGCAGGCCCCUCAACCUCUCUGGGCCUGAUUUCUCAUCUGACAGGAGGGAGGUAUGGGGAACAUGACCUCAAAAGUCCCAAUAUUUAAAGGCCUAUGAUAUGUGAUGUGGCUUUUAACCCAAGAAACAUUAAGUGUUGUACUCUUGGUCUUUUAAGGAGCCAGGCUUCAUUCAUGCCAUUUGAGCAAGAUGCUUGUACUGUGACUGGAGUUGGGGCAUCUUUGAGAGUAUAUCAGGUAUGUUUGAUUUCCAUGCUGGGGUCAGCAAACUAUGGUCCACAGGCCAAAUCCAGCUUGCCACCUGUUUUUGUAAAGAAGUUUUAUUGGAACAGAGACAUGCUUAUUUGUUUACGUGUUGUCUUUGACUGCUUUUGUGCUACAGUGACAAAAUUGAGCAGUUGUGACAAAGACUUUACAUCUUGCAAAGCAUAAAAUAUUUACUCUCUGGUUCUUUACAGAAAAAGUUUGCUGAGCUUUGCUCAAGGAUAUCCAUGCUUUGCCUUUGGUUUGUUCUUAAUAGAACCAAUGAUUUUGCUAAUUUAAUUUUUCAUACAAAUAGGGUACUUAACCCCUUUGAGGAGGGUGUGUUAUGUCCACUGACUUGUGAUACGUUGGAAGAAGAGAUCCUCUUUAGAAAGAGAGCGUUUUCUAACAUUUUCAUUUAUGAGUGCAGAACAUUUUUUUUUCAUUUACUGAUGGUUUUUUCUUUUGAGAAACAAUUAUACAAUUAUCUAUUAUGUGAGAUUAGACUAAGCUAAAACAAUACACUGUAAUUUCCAAACAUGGUAAAGUGUACCCAGGCAUGGAUUACUGCCACAGCAUUUAUUUUCUCCUCCACAUUGUGGAAUUUUCAAUUCAUAAGAAUUGUGUUAGGGGCUUUGUUUGAAUUAAUUAAAGCCUGCCAUGUUGAUAAGCAACCAGGCCAGUGACUGACAAGUCAAAGUUCUUGAAAAUUGAAAUGGCUGCUGAAUUCAGGAUUCACAAGGCUGCUUCCUAACUGGCUUGGCAAAGAGUCAUCCAUGUGUCUACAAUAGCCAAUAAAGACGAGGUAAUUAUAAACAAAUGUGUUAACCAGCUAGUUCUCAAGUAGUUUCAGGACCACUUCAGCAUCAGUAGUUAUUUUGCCUUGAGGCUUGUGGCAUUACAUCAUGCUUUAGGCUUUGUUGGGGUAACCCCCAAACACUUGAGUGGGGAAGCAGCAUCCACAGGCUUGGUUGAAGAAUAUGGAGGAGUAAAAAACAGGCAGUGAAUGAGAUACUGGAAUUGUAAGGGAAAAUGUUUCACAAAGCCUGGAUUUAAAUAAUUAAGCCCAGCUGUUAAAAAAAACCCUGUUUUCAUUGACAAGUGACACAGAGGGCAAGCAUCUCGUGUCUCCUGUGAAAGAGUUGUGUUCGUAGGGGUAUAGUAACCUGGAGAUGUGCUUGGUAUGAUUGGAGAAGUGGUUUAGUUUGCAACUCUAUGUCUUAAAAAAGGAUAUGGAUAAUUUAGAGAAAGUCUGGGAUGGACAAUGAAAAUACAGAAAAAUUUGAAAGCAGGAAUCAAGUGAUGGGGGUGGGGUGAGCAAAACACAGGUUGUCAGAUCAGAUACACAUGGAUCAUAGAUCUUACCGAGUAUCAAGCUUUACUUAUAAUUUCAGAGACACAGGCAAUCAAGAUGAAGCAGAAAAAAGCAUGAGGUGCUGAGAAGGUCUUCCUAGAACCUUCCUUUUCUCAUUGGACAUUGUAAAAAAUGGCAUGGGGGCAGUGUCCAACCUCCCCUUAACUUUACAAGGGGGAAGGAGAAUCAAAACCAUCAGCCCAAGGCUGAUUCCUAUGAGGCACAGAGGUUAGAUAUGCCUCCUGUGUCCACUAUCUUUACUAAUUCUGACACCAACCAUCCCUCCCACAGCACUCUCUACUUCUUUGCUGGGUGGGAAAAUUCAUUACAAUGGCCACACAGAACUCACAGACCAUACUCACGAUUAUGGGGUUUAUUAGGGAAAUAACAGGUUACAAUUCAGGCUCAAGAACACUCAAGGAUAUGGUUCUUCCAUCAGGGCAGCCUCUUCCCUCCUGUGCUCACAGGCUUGCCUCUCCCUGGCUCUAGGCCUCUGCCCAAAGGCAUUCAUUCAGCUUUCUCUCUCCGGUGGGCUGGGAAGCGCACCGACGCAUCUCCUACUGCUGGGUUUCUACUGCCAGGUCUUUCCUGCCACUGCUUCUCACUGUCUUCAGGGUUAUAGCACAUUCUCUCUCUUGGUCUCUUGCUUCCAGGAACUUCUCUUGCUUCCAGGGAUCCCAGGUCUAAAGGAUUGCUGGCUUCUGGCUUUUCUUCCUUGGUGGUGGUAGGACCUUAUUUUUCCUGCCUCUGGGGUGGCUCAUUUCAAGCUCAGCAGGAUGGCAAAACUGACCAAUCCCUUUGGUGGGCCACAAUUAUCCUAUCAUACAGUCUCACCCAAUCACUUGGGUAGGCUAGAAAGGCCACACAAAAGUGAUCCAUCACACCAUAGACAUGUACCUCUCCUCAAUGAUAGAUGAGUCUAAGUGAGGUUCACUGGGUUACCAUGCACAGUAGGAAGCAUUUAAAUUAUGAAAGAGCUCCAUUUUAUACCCCUGAUUGUUGUGUAGCAUGCAUGACAUUCUCCAAGGAGCCAUGCCUCAUAAAUUUUGGGUGGCUUGGUUCUAAGUAAUUGCUUGGCCAGAGACAUCCUGCUAAAGUGUUCCUUAGAUGAAUUAGAUGAAUUCUCUUUCUCCUACCAAAUAUCAUUAGCUACCUGAGGAGUCCCAGGAGGUGCAAAUGGUUAAAGCACUCAGCUGCAAACCAAAAGUUUGGAUGUUUAAUUCCACCCAGAGUUGCCUUGAGAAAAAGGCCUGGUGAUAUAUUUCAGAAAAUUAGCCAUUGAAAACCCAAUAGCCAACAUUAUACUUAAUGGAGAAAGACUGAGAGCUUUCCCACUGGAAACUGGAACAAGACAAGGGUGCCUGCUCUCACCACUUCUGUUCAAUAUUGUAUUAGAAGCCCUAACAAGAGUAAUAAGACAAGAACAAGAAAUAAUAGGUAUCCAGAUUGAAAAAGAAGAAGUAAAAUUAUCUCUAUUCACAGGUAAUAUGAUCCUAUGUAUAGAAAAUCCCCAAAAUUCCACGAACUUCUAAAGCUAGUAGAGAAAUUUAGCAAAGUUGCAGGGUACAAGGUCAACAAACAAAAAUCAGUUGGGUUUCAAUACACUAGCAAUGAGAAAUCUGAAAGGAAACAAUUCCAUUUACAAUAGCAUUUAAGAGAAUAAAAUACCUAGGAAUAAAUCUGACCAGGGUUGUAAAGGACUUAUAUAAUGAAAACUAUAAAACACUGCUGGAAGAGAUUAAAGAAGACUUAAAUAAAUGGAAAGAUGUUCCAUGUUCAUGGAUUGGAAGACUUAAUAUCUUUAAGAUGUCAGUACUACCCAAAGCGAUCUAUAGAUUCAGUGUAAUCCUGAUCAAAAUUCCAACAGCCUUCUUUACAGAAAUAGAAAACCCAAUUCUCAACUUUAUAUUGUAAUGGCAAGAGACCUCAAAUAUCUAAAGCAAUGUUGAAAGAGAAGAACAAAGUAGGAGGACUCACACUUCCUGAUUUUAAAUCAUAUUGUAUGGUUAAAGUAAUCAAAACAGCCUGGUACUGGCAUAACAAUAGACACAUAGACUAGCAGAAUAGAAUGGAAAGCCUAGAAAUAAACACUCACAUCUACGAUCAGCCAGUUUUUGGCAAGGGUGCUAAGUCCAUUCGAUGGGGAAGGAAGAGUCUCUUCUAUAAAUGGUACUGGGAAAAUUGAUUUCCACAUGCAGCAAAAUGAAAUAGGAUCCAUGCCUUACACCAUAUGCAAAAACAAAUUCAAAAUGGAUUAAGGAUCUAAACGUUCAAGCUAAAACUGUAAAAUUCUUAGAAGAACAAGCAGGGGCAAUGCUGUCAGGCCUAGCUUUUAAUAAUGGGAUUAUCUAAUAUAAUAACAAAAGCACAAGCAGCAAAAGACAAAUGGAACCUCAUAAAAAUUAAAAACUUUUGUUCAUCAAAAGCCUUUUCCAAAAAAGUGAAAAGACAAGCUACUGACUAGGAGCAUAUCUUAUAAGCCAUAUAUCAGACAAGAACCUAAUAACCAAAAUACAUAUAAAACUUUGACAACCUAACAACAGAAAGACAACUCAGUCAUAAAAUGGGCAAAGGAAUUGAAUAGACAUUUCACCAAAGAGAACAUUCACAUGGCCACCAAGCAUAUGAAAAGAGGCUGAACAUCAUUAGCCAUCUGAGAGAUGCAAAUCAAAUCCACAGUGAGAUACCAUUUCACCCCCACCGGGAUGGCUAAGAUUAAAAAAAAAAAGAAAUGUUGGCAAGGAUGUUGAGAAAUUGGAACCCUUACGCAUUGCUGGUGGGAAUGCAAAAUGAUACAGCCAUUGUGGUAAACAAUGUGGCAGUUUCUCAUAAAAAUAAAAAUAGAAAUUAUGACCCAGCAAUUCCACUCCUACUUAUAUACCCAAAAGACUUUAAAGCAGAGACUCAGAGACUUAUACAUCAAUAUUCAUUGCAGCACUAUUCACAAUAGUCAAAAGGUAGAAACAACCUAAAUGCCCAUCAACAGAUGAAAUGGGUAAACAAAAUGUGGUAUGUACAUAUGAUGGACUACUACUCAGCCAGUAGGAGAAAUGAAGUCUUGAUACAUGCUACAAUAUGGAUGGAGCUGGAAGACAUUAUGCUGAGUGAAAUAAGUCAAUCACAAAAGGACAAAUAUUGUAUGACCUCACUUACAUAAAAAGACAAAUGUAUAGAGACCAAAGUUUAUCAGUGGUUACCAGGGUAGAAGGGAGGGAGUAACGGGGGGUUAACUUCGAUGGAAAAAUCAUAUUGAUUAAAGGUACUGUUGCACAGCUGAUUAUUGUAAUUGCUGUCUAUAAGUUGUACACCUGUAAAAAGUUGAAUUGGCAAAAGUUGUGUGAUAGGUAUAUUUAUAACAAUCACAAAAAAAGAAAGAGUAGCUGCUGAGGCUGAUUAUAUACAGUCAGGUACCUCAUGGGAUUUGGUUUCUUGGUUUACAGGUUUUGGGUCAUGGUUUCAUGGAAUAUCCCAGUUAAUUGGCCUUAUAACUGGCCUUAUAACUGUGUGUAGUGUCUGGAUCUUAAAAGCUUGCAAGCAGCCACCGAAGGCAUAACAAUUGAUCUCUGUUCACCUGGAACAACAGCAAAAGAAAGAGAGUCAGAAAUAGGAGAAGGAUAUGGAAUAUGUGGGUAAUUGCCUCCAUGAGCAACUGCCUCCCUUGCCGUGAGACCAGAAGAACUGGAUGGUGCCUGGCUACCAUAACUGAACAGUUUGAUCAAAGAUUCCAUAGAAGAAUCCUGAUCAAAAGGGGGAAAAUGGAAACCAGAAUUUCAAAUUCUCAUGGAAUCCAGAUCCCUGGAGCCAUGAAGGUUGGAUGAACCCCUGAAACUAUUGCCCUGAGAUAAUCUUUAAACCUUAAGCCAAAAAUAUCUCCUGAUGUCUUCUUAAAAACAAAUAAUAGUUUAGCUGAACUAGCAAAAAAGUUCUACCUUGAGCAUUGUGCUUUUUUAAGCCCCCCAAAAACCUGUUGCCUUCAAGUCAAAUCCAAUUCAUAGCAACCCUACAGGACAGAGAAGAACUGCCCCAUAGGGUUUCCAAGGAGUGCCUGGUGGAUUCAAACUGCCAACCUUUUGGUUAGCAGCUGUAGCUCUUAACCAGUACACCACCAAGGUUUUCCAAGAACUAUCUAUAUGGGAUCAAAUUGACAACAGCAACUUGAAAGAUUAGAUAGGAACCUUAUGGGGCAGCGAAUUUAUGUCAAUGAGGAAGGAACAACUCAGAAAAGGAGGGUGAGAAUGGUUAUACAACUCAGAGAAUGUAAUUAGUGUCUCUAAAUGGUACAUGUAGAAACUGUUGCAUUGGUGUAUGUUUUGCUGUGUGUAUUCUCAGCAACAAAAUAAAUAAAAUUAUAUAUAUAAAAUUCAGUAAUGAGGGACAAAGGGACAUUGUGUGCUUUCAGAUGUGAUACUGUGAGAAAGACACACCCUAAUCCGGGUUCUAGCAGAGUAAGAAUAACCUGAACCUAAUCACAGGAAAAUAUCAGACAAGCUCAAAAUGAGGAAUGUUCUUUAAAAAAAAAAAAGAUGGUUGCACAACUCAAAGAAUGUAAUAAUGUCACUGAAUUGUGCAUGUAGAAAUGGUUGAAUUGGUGUAUAUUCUGCUAUUUAUAUUCUCAACAACAACAAAAUAAACUUAAAAAAAAAGAAAAGAAAGAAAACCAUGUGGAGCACAGUUCUACUCUGACCCACAUAGGGUUGCCAUGAAUCAGAGUUGACUUGGUGGUAACUGGUUGGUUGGUAGUUACCUGGAGGUUCAGUUGAUGUGGAAAUUUGAUAGGGUCACCUGCCUUCUUUCCUUUCCCUGGGAAAUAAAUGGAGUGAAUAGGUCACAGGCCAGUUGCUUUAACUCCUUCUUCCUAGGGGGUGAAGUUAAAAGGAACUAGGAUUAUUCAGGGUCAAGCAGGAAUAAACAUUGACAGCUUUCACAUAUAAACCCAUUGCCAUUGAGUUGAUUCCGACUUGUAGUGACCCUAUAGGACAGAGUAGAACUGCCCCAAAGAAUUUCCAAGGAGCAGCUGGUGGAUUCAACUGUCAGCCUUUUUGGUUAGCAGCCGUAGCACUUAACCACUAUGCCACCAGGGCUCCAUAUAGGAAGAGUAAUUAUAAGUAGGGUCACUGGUGAUAAGAUAUCCUGGACGGUUAAUCAGAGAAAGUGGGUUACCACUAUAAUAAGCAGUAUUUAGGUUGAAAAAGGAAAAGCUUUCAGAUUUUUAGGGUUGUUAGAUAGUGAAACAAAGUGUGGCUUUCUAAUUUCUUCCUCUCCUCUUUUUCCCUUGUCUUCCUCCCUGGUUCUCCUGAGUGCCCACCCUCCCCUCCCCCAUCACACACAUCUCUAGAGAUGACUUCAGCUUCAGUGGGACCCCUGUCUUUGUCACCACCCUGUCCUGGCUCUAUCUUCCUGCUCCCUGUUUGCCUCCUCUCUUGGAACCUGACAGAGAUCUUGGAAUACAGAAUAAUACAGUAAUACAGAGUAAACUCUAUCAAGAGAAAUAACCUAUGAGUGAUUGGAGUACCAGAACAGGGAGGGAUAACAGGAAAUACAGAGAGAAUUAUUGAAGAUUUGUUGGCAGAAAACUUCCCUGAUAUCAUGAAGGAUGAGAAGAUAUCUAUCCAAGAUGCUCAUUAAACUCCACGUAAGGUAGAUCUUAAAAGAAAGUCACCAAGAUAUGUUAUAAUCAAACUUGCCAAAACCAAAGAUAAAGAGAGGAUUUUAAGAGCAGCUAGGAAUAAAUGACAAGUCACCUACAAAGGAGAGUCAGUAAGAAUAAGCUCGGACUAUUCAGCAGAAACCAUACAGGCAAGAAGGCAAUGGGAUGACUUAUAUAAAGCAUUGAAGGAAAAAAAUUGCCAGCCAAGAAUCCUAUAUCCAGUAAAACUGUCUCUCAGAUAUGAAGGCAAAAUUAGGACAUUUCCAGAUAAGCAGAAGUUUAGGGAAUUCAUUAAAACCAAACCAAAACUACAAGAAAUACUAAAGGGAAUUCUAUGGUUAGAAAAUCAAUGAUAUCAGAUAUCAACCCAAGACUAGAACACUGGACAGAGCAAUCAGAUGUCAACACAGAGAGGGAAUCACAAAAAUAAAUCAAGAUAAAAAAAAUGCUCAAAACAGGGAAACAGUGAUGUCAUUAUGCAAAGGCAGACAACAUUAAAACAAUAAUGAGCGACUGAGAAAUGUAGUCAUAGAUCUUUCAUAUGGAGAGGAAGUCAAGGCGAUAAAAAGAAAUUGAAGUUAGGUUUAAACUUAGAAAAAUAGGGGUAAAUGUUAAGGUAACCACAAAGGAGACUAGCAAUCCUACUCAUCAAAAUAAAACACAAGAAAAAAACAGAGAUUCAGCAGAAACAAAAUCAAAUACAACGAAUAAGAGGAAAACACGAUAUAUAAAGACAAACUACUCAGCACAAAAAAUUAAGUGGGUGACAGAAACUGUCAACAACACAUAAAAGAAGAGAUCAAAAUGACAGCACUAAACUCAUACCUAUCCGUAAUUACGCUGAAUGUUAGUGGACUAAAUGAACCAAUAAAGAGACAGAGAGUGGCAGAAUGGAUUAAAAAACAAAAAACAAACAAACAAAAAAACACGAUCCGUCUAUAUGCUACCUACAAGAGACACACCCUAGACUUAGAGACACAAAAAAACUCAAAGGAUGGGAAAAAAAAAAUAUCAAGCAAACAACAAUCAAAAAAGAGGAGUGGCAAUGUUAAUUUCUGACAAAAUUGAUUUUAAAGUUAAAUCCACCACAAAGAAUAAGGAAGGACACUAUAUAAUGAUUAAAGGGACAAUAUACCAGGAAAAAAAAAAUUUUUUUUUUUUUUAUACCAGGAGGAUAUAACCAUAUUAAAUACUUAUGCACCCAAUGACAGGGCUGCAAGACACUUAAACUCUAAUAGCACUGAAAAGUGAGAUAGACAGCUCCACAAUUAGAGUAGGAGACUUAAACACACCACUUUUGGUGAAGGACAGAACAUCCAGAAAGAAGCUCAAUAAAGACACGGAAGACCUAAAUGCCACAAUCAACCAACUUGGCCUCAUAGACAUAUACACAACACUCCAUCCAACAGCAACCAAGUAUACUUUCUUUUCCAAAGCACAUGGAACAUUCUCUAGAAUAGACCGCAUAUUAGGUCAUAAAGCAAGCCUUAGCAGGAUCCAAAACAUCGAAAUAUUAUAAAGCAUCUUCUUUGACCAUAAAGCCAUAAAAGUAGAAAUCAAUAACAGAAGAAGCAGAGAAAAGAAAUCAAACACUUAGAAACUGAACAAUACCCUGCUCAAAAAAACGACGGGUUAUAGAAGACAUCAAGGAUGGAAUAAAGAAAUUCAUAGAAUCCAAUGAGAAUGACAACACUUCCUGUCAGAGCCUUUCUGACAUAGCGAAAAUAGUGGUCAGAGGUCAGUUUAUAUCAAUAAAUGCACACAUGGAAAAAGAAGAAAGGGCCAAAAUCAAAGAAUUAGCCCUACAACUUGAACAAAUAGAAAGAGAGCAACAAGAGAAACUGUCAGGCAGCAGAAGAAAGCAAAUAAAAAUUAGAGCAGAAUUAAAUGAAAUAGAGAAUACAAAAACAGUUGAAAGAGUUAAGACCAAAAGCUGGUUCUUUGAAAAAAUUAACAAAAUUGAUAAACCAUUGUCAAACUGACAAAAGAAAAACAGGAGAGGAGGCAAAUAACCCAAAUAAGAAAUGAGUUGAGCGAUAUUACAACAGACCCAACUGUAAUUAAAAGAAUCAUAUCUGAUUACUAUGAAAAAUUGUACUCCUAACAAAUUUGAAAACUUAGAAGAAAUGGGUGAAUUUCUAGAAACACACUACCUACCUAAACUUACACAGAGGUAGAACAAGUAAAUAAACCCAUAACAAAAGAAGAGAUGGAAAAGGUAAUUAAAAAACUCCAAACAAACAAAAGAAAUGCCCUGGCCUGGAGGGCUUCACUGCAGAGUUCUACCAAACUUUCAGAGAAGAGUUAACACCACUACUACUAAAGAUAUUUCAGAGCAUAGAAAAGGAUGGGAUACUCCCAGAUACUCUCAAACUCAUUCUAUGAAGCCAGCAUAUCCCUGAUACCAAAACCAGGUAAAGACACCACAAAAAAAGAAAAUUACAGACCUGUAUCCCUCACAAACUUAGAUGCAAAAAUCCUCAACAAAAUUCUAGCCAGUAGAAUUCAACAACAUAUCAAAAUAGAUAGAUAGAUGGAUAGAUAGGUAGCAAUUCUGAUCCAAAUUCCAAUGACAUUUUUUAAUGAGGUGGAGAAACAUCACCAACUUCAUAUGGAAGGGAUAAGUAAAGCAUUGCUGAAAAAGAAGAACAAAGUGGGAGGCCUCACUCUAUCUAAUUUUAGAACCUAUUAUACGGCCACAAUAGUCAAAACAGCGUGGUACUGGUACAACAACAGAUACAUAGACCAAUGGGACUGAAUUGAGAAUCCAGACAUAAAUCCAUCCACAUAUGAGAGCUGAUAUUUGACAAAGGCCCAAAGUCAGUUAAAUGGGGAAAAGACAGUCUUUAUAACAAAUGGUGCUGGCAUAACUGAAUAUCCAUCUCCAAAAAAAUGAAACAAGACCCAUACCUCACACCAUGCAUAAAAACUAACUCAAAAUGCUUCAAAGGCCUAAAGAUAAAAUCUGAAACAAUAAAGAUCAUGCAAGAAAAAAUAGGGACAACGCUAGGAGCCCUAAUACAUGGCAUCAACAGUAUACAAAACAUUAUUAACAAUGCAGAAGAGAAACUAGAUAACUGGGGGAAAAAAAAAAACCCAGUGCCAUCAAGUUGAUUCUGACUCAUAGUGACCCUAUAGGACAGAGUAGAACUGCCCCAUAGAGUUUCCAAGGAGCGCCUGGCGGAUUUGAACUGCCGAGCCUUUGGUUGGCAGCCGUAGCACUUAACCACUACCCCAUCUCCUAAAAAUCAAACACCUAUGCUUACCCAAGGAUUUCACCAAAAGAGUAAAAAGAUUACCUACAGUCUGGGAAAAAGUUUUUAGCUAUGACAUUUCUGAUCAGCGUCAGAUCUCUAAAAUCUUCAUGAUACUGCAAAAACUCAACUACAAAAAGGCAAAUAACCGAAUUAAAAAAUGGGCAAAGGAUAUGAACAGGCACUUCACUAAAGAAGACAUUUGGGUAGCUAACAGAUACAUGAGGAAGUGGUUGUGAUCAUUAGCCAUUAGAGAAAUGCAGAUCAAAACUACAAUGAGAUUCCAUCUUGCUCCAACAAGGCUGACAAUAAUCCAAAAAACAAAACAGUAAAUGUUGGAGAGGUUGUGGAGACACUGGAACACUUAUAUAUGGCUGGUGGGGAUGUAAAAUGGUACAACCACUUUGGAAAUCGAUUUGGCGCUUCCUUUUAUUUAGUUUCAUUUCUAGUUUUUUAAAACUAGAAAUGAAACUACCGUACGAUCCAGCAGUCCCACUCCUUGGAACAUAUCUUAGAGAAAUAAGAGUCUUUACACAAACAGAUAUAUGCACACCCAUGUUCAUUGCAGCAUUGUUUAUAAUAGCAAAAAGAUGGAAGCAACCAAGGUGCCCAUCAAUGGAUGAAUGGAUAAAGAAAUUAUGGUAUAUUCACACAAUGAAAUACUACCCAUCAAUAAAGAACAAUGAUGAAUCCGUGAAACAUUUUAUAACAUGGAGGAAUCUGGAAGGCAUUAUGCCGAGUGAAAUUAGUCAGUUGCAAAAGGACAAAUAUUGUAUAGGACCACUAUUAUAAGAACUCAAGAAAUAGCUUAAACAGAGAAGAAAAUAUUCUUUGAUGGGUACAAAAGCGGGGAGGGAGAGAGGAAGAGGGUUUUUUCACUAAUUAGAUAGUAGAUAAGAACUAUUUUGGGUGAAAGGAAAGACAACACACAAUACAGGAGAGGUCAGCACAACUGGACUAAACCAAAAGCAAAGAAGUUUCCUGGAUAAACCGAACACUUUGAAGGCUAGCGUAGCAGGGGCUGGGGUUUGGGGACCAUGGUUUCAGGGCUCAUCUAAAUCAAUUGGCAUAAUAAAAUCUAUUAAGAAAAAAUUCUGCAUCCCACUUUGGAGAGUGGCAUCUGGGGUCUUAAAACACUAGCGAGCGGCCAUCUAAGGUACAACAAUUGGUCUCAGCCCACCUGGAGCAAAGGAGGAUGAAGAACACCAAAGAUACAAGGUAAUUAUGAGCCCAAGAGACAGAAAGGGCCACAUAAACCAGAGACUACAUCAGCCUGAGACCACAAGAACUAGAUGGUGCCCUGCUACAACCAAUGACUGCCCUGGCAGGGAACAUAACAGAGAACCCCUGAGGGAGCAAGAAGAAGAGUGGGAUGCAGACCCCAAAUUCUCGUAAAAAGACUAGACUUAAAGGUCUGACCAAGAGUAGAAGGACCCCAGAGGUCAUGGUCCCCAGACCUUCUAUUAGCCCAAGACAGGAACCAUUCCCAAAGCCAACUCUUCAGACAGAGAUUGGACUGGACUAUGGGAUAGAAAAUGAUACUGGUGAUGAGUGAGCAUCUCGGAUCAAGUAGACACAUGAGAUUAUGUGGGCAUCCCAUGUCUGGAGGGGGGAUGAGAGGACAGAGGGGGUCAGAAGCUGGCUAAAUGGACAGGAAAACAGAGUGGAGGGAAGGAGUGGGCUGUGUCAUCAGAGGGAGAGCAACUAGGAGUACCUAGAUAGCAAGGUAUGUGUAAGUUUUUGUAUGAGAGACUGACUUGGUUUGUAAACUUUCACUUAAAGCACAAUAAAAAAAAAAGAGUGGAUUUUAUUUCCUAAUUUCUCCUUUUGCGAAUUAUGUGUUGAUAUCUUUCAUUCAUAUGGUUUUCUUUAAUCCUAACCCCUUGCUAGUUGUAACAAAUCCUCUUUCCUUAGUUGGUUACCUAUUUAUUUUUUAUUUUCUUUCCUUCACAUAUAAAAGUUUCAAGUUUUUAUUUAGUGAAAUUUAUUAACCUUUUCCAUUUUCUUGGAGGUCUUUUCGAAGUAUGAAGACGUUUGCCUAGGUAUAGUUAUCAGUUAAAUGAGAUUAUGGAUGUGGAAGUGUUUUUGUAAGCAGGAAAACACAAACUACAGCUAGAAGGAGCUUUGACUCCUCGUCCUCACUGUCACUGGAGAGACUCUGCAGACCUUAAGGGCCAUGCAAGAGUGUUGCUGGUGAAAGGGAUUCCUUUGUGAAUUUUGCCACUCUUCAAAAUUAAACCACUGGGCAUGGUAUUGUCUAGGUUAGUGCUGUCCAAUAGAAAUAUAAUAUGAAUCACAUAUAUAAUUAAAAAUUUUCUGGUAGCCACAUUAAAAAAUGAGACAGGUGAAGUUAAUAAUAUAUUUUAUUUAACCCUGAUAUAUUUUAUUUAACCCAGUCUAUCCAAAAUGUUAUCAUUUCAACAUUCAGGUCUUCAAAAUCCAGUAUGUAUUUUAUACUUGGCAGUGCAUCUCAGCUGACAGUCACAUUUCAAGUGCUCAGUAGCCACGUGUGGCCAGUAUCGGGCAGCGGAGGUCUAGAUGCGGGCAGAUAGGCAGAGCUUUGAGGUAUCUUCUAGAUGCAGAGGGGUAGUCAGAGCUUUGAGGCGUCUUGUAGACUCUGGAGUCAGGCAGUCCAUCCUUAAAUCUAAACUUUCCUCAGUACUUGGAAGAAGGCAGCACAUACUUAAAAGCAGUUGAAUGAAUUUGCUGUUUCUGCCUUGACAGAAAUUUAAGACCCCCUUUUCUCUCCAUGAAGGAGCCUUGGUGGCUCAGUGGUUAAAGUGCCUAGCUGCUAACCAAAAUGUCGGUGAUUUGAACCCACCAGCCGCUCCUCAGGAGAAAGAUGUGACAGUCUGCUUCUAAAGAUUAAAAAAUACAGCCUUGGAAACCCUUUGGGACAGUUCUACUCUGUCCAGUAGGGUUGCUCUGAGUCAGAAUCGACUCCAUGGAAGUGGGUUUGGUUCCCCGCCCCCCGCCAUGAGGAACUCUGGUGGCUCAGUGGUUAAGGCACUUGGCUGCUAAUGAAACGGUCAGCAGUUCAAACCCACCAGCUGUUCCAUGGGAGAAAGAUGUGACAGUCUGC